AAAUACGAGUAAAUGUAUUAAAAGUGGAGUUCGAGAGGUAUUGUUAUGCAUGAUAUCCAAAUUCCAAGAAGAAAAGAAGCUGAAUUCUACCAAAAACAAGAUUGUUUACGUGUGGUGUUGAAUUUCUUAGGAAAUCUGGAGGAUGUAGGAGGAGUCAAUGCAAUAGUGAUAACUAUUGGUGUAAGUGUAAUAUCAAUACACAGAAUAAAAAUGGCUGAUUAUCACCAUGAUAUGAAUGCUGCCAACUUCAAUAAGAAAAGCUCCUACCCAAUUUAAAUGAUCUAAGUGUAAUUGUUAUGGACAAUGCCAGUUACCAUUCCGUUAUAGUAAAUAAAGCCCCUACGACACAGAAUCGAAAUCUUGAGAUAAGAGAAUGGCUGACUUUGAAUAAUAUUCAAUUUGUUGAGUACCAUACGAAAGCAGAACUGCUAUGUCUAGUAAAACGGUAUAAACCAGAGCUAAUACAUGAAGUUCAUCAGCUUCAUAUUUUAAAGCACAAUGGUCAUGAGGGAUAGAGACUACCUCCAUACUAUUGUGAUCUAAAUGCCAUUGAGCUGGUAUGGAUGGAUGGCCUAGCAAAAUGCAGAGAAGCAAAUAAAAAUAUUACAUUCACUACAGAGCAGUUAGAACAAGUGAUUUAAGAGUUAUUUAAAAAUGGAACAAAAGUAGAGUGGAAGAAAAUGAUUGAUCAUGUUGGACAUGUGAAAAUAAAUAUAGAGAAAGGGACAGGAGGAACAUUUAGAAAGUUUAAUAAUCAAUGUGAGAGACAGUGAUAACAGCAAUGACUCUGAUGAAUCUAUGCAUAUUGAUUUUUUGGAUUCUGAUUUUGAUUAUUCCGAAUAAAGUUGUCUUAUAAUA